GCAGUCCAGAAGGCUGCAGUAUUUCCUCCAAGAAAAAAAAAAAAAAAAAGGCUGCUUCAACCCCUGCUGCAAGCAAAGUUCCGAUUCCCUCUGCUGGCUAUCUCGAAUAGCAAAGCGAUUUUUGCAGCGAAGCUGCUGCCGCUGGAACUGAACCGGGGGACUCAGCUGCGGGCGGUGGAUUGUUUCUUAUCCUUCCCUCCAUCGGCUUCACAGACGAGCUGCCUUCUUUCCUUUUCGUGCCAAGUUUAAAGCCCACUCAUCUCUGAUGAAAGCACCUGCUGAUAUAGAGGAAACAUCUUGGAAGACUGAGCACAACUUCCUUAAAUAGUCACCUGGACCAGCCAUUGAUUUGUCCUGACUUCCCGCUGUCAAUAGCUAAGCAAGUUGGAUCGAUAGGACCAGAUGUGAUCGGCUGAACUGAUUCUUUUCCCUAGAAAAAUCCAGACAUGCACAAGUCCAGUCUGAAGGCUACUAUUGAAUGGAAUUGCCAGCUAAAAUAUAAGACCUCCAGUGAAAUUUGAAGUUCAGACACAUUUUCAUAUAAUAAAGUGCCUGUGAAGAAUGACAAAUGCCCUGAUCCCCAUCGCUGUUAUCAGAAAAGUCCAAUUUAGAGAACCAGACGAUUGUGCAAAACACAAGAGGACAGGAGCCGAAGGGCAGUGCUCCCCCAAAUGUGUUCCCCGGACCAGCGCUGCCCCACAGACUCUCACAUGCACCAGCAAGUGCGGGGAUCUGGAUUACAUGCUCAGCAACUUUCUAGUAACUUGUCAGAAGAAUUGUAUGUCUCUUGUGUCUAAAUAAUAAAAGUUUGGACUUGUAUUUUAAAAA